rnacentral:lncRNA from 1 species
GUUUCCAAAUGGGGGAUUUGGCGGGCCUAGGUGGGGUUACAGAACAUAACAAAGGUAGUCAUAGCAACAGGUGGUCAUAAGGACCUGUUCAGAACCACUUGUAGUUAAGGUUACAAGUGGGGCACAGUCCAAUCCUUGAGAAACAAGGUUCAGUAUGAAAUAGGAAGAAACCUAGUUUGUUUUUACUAUAAGAUGACUUUUAUGCCUAAGAUGGAGGCAAGCUGGCUCAUCAAUAUUGAAAAGGGUUCUGAGGCCAGUACCCCACUUAAUGCUUUUUUCCUUUCUAGAACUGAUUUCAUUUCAUAUCAAUGAGGAAAUCAGAUACCAGCCAGGGCUGAAGAUCACAGGCUAUCUUCUAGAAGCAGACCCAGACAAAACAGUUGCCGGUUGUUGAUAAAAUACAGGACCAAAAGGAAAGAAGCCGUAGCAUGGAUAACAGUGUGGAGAAGUCUCAGCCUUGACUGGACUCAAAUGCUAUUCUGGAGCAAAAUUAACCCCAGCCCAUGUCUGUCCUACCUUUAAGGAAUGAAGCAGAAAACCUCUACCUCAGCAUCAGUCUUUAGGAGAAACGUAAACGUUGGUCAACCUCCAGGACUCCCCAGUGUCCAAAACAAUGUUCUGAAGAAGCUCACUGGUUGAACAGUGAUCAGUAAGCUCUCAGACACUGGCAGAUUCUUGCCCACAGCUGCUGGAAUCCCAGGGGGAUUUUAAUGGAUCACUAAGCAUUUUCAUACAAUAUAUAAGUGGUUAUUACUGCUAUUUAUAGGUCCAUCUUAGUUGGUAGAGCUCUGAGUGAAGUCAUUAGGGAAACCCAUUAUAUAAAAUAUCUGCUUCAAGGAUAUAAAAAGCCACCUUUAUUGCUAAUCACACUUUUCAGGAACUCUGAAGGGUCUUAGAUUCUCCUCCUACAUGUGAACUAACAAGUUAGCUUGACAGUUUUAUGAAUGUUGGCAGAAGCCAUGAGAUCCUCAAUCAGAGAGUGAAUUUAAUUACAGCAACAUCAGUAGCCAGAGUAUAUUCUUGCAAUGAGUUUGAGACCUUAAUUCCAC